rnacentral:rRNA from 1 species
AUUGAACGCUGGCGGCAGGCUUAACACAUGCAAGUCGGACGGUAACAGGGAGGAAGCUUGCUCUCUUUGCUGACGAGUGGCGGACGGGUGAGUAAUGCUUGGGAAUCUGUUUUAUGGAGGGGGAUAACUACGGGAAACUGUAGCUAAUACCGCGUAAUAUCGAGAGAUUAAAGUGUGGGACCGUAAGGCCACAUGCCAUAGAGUGAGCCCAAGUGGGAUUAGGUAGUUGGUGGGGUAAAGGCCUACCAAGCCGUCGAUCUCUAGCUGGUCUGAGAGGAUGACCAGCCACACUGGGACUGAGACACGGCCCAGACUCCUACGGGAGGCAGCAGUGGGGAAUAUUGCACAAUGGGCGCAAGCCUGAUGCAGCCAUGCCGCGUGAAUGAAGAAGGCCUUCGGGUUGUAAAGUUCUUUCGGUGGUGAGGAAGGUUGUAAUGUUAAUAGCAUUAUAAUUUGACGUUAGCCACAGAAGAAGCACCGGCUAACUCCGUGCCAGCAGCCGCGGUAAUACGGAGGGUGCGAGCGUUAAUCGGAAUAACUGGGCGUAAAGGGCACGCAGGCGGAUACUUAAGUGAGGUGUGAAAGCCCUGGGCUUAACCUAGGAAUUGCAUUUCAUACUGGGUAUCUAGAGUAUUUUAGGGAGGGGUAGAAUUCCACGUGUAGCGGUGAAAUGCGUAGAGAUGUGGAGGAAUACCGAAGGCGAAGGCAGCCCCUUGGGGGAAUACUGACGCUCAUGUGCGAAAGCGUGGGGAGCAAACAGG